CAAUCCUUGUACCACGUUUGGAGGACAACAAUAUUGUUGCACCCAAGGUCCAUGUGGUCCUACAGAGUUGUCCAAAUUUUUCAAGAAAAGAUGCCCCGAUGCUUAUAGCUACCCACAAGAUGAUCCUACUAGCACAUUUACUUGUCCUGGAGGUAGUACAAACUAUAAGGUUGUCUUUUGUCCCAAUGGCGUUGCUGAUCCAAAUUUCCCCUUGGAGAUGCCUGCAAGUACUGAUGAAGUGGCCAAGUAAAUUUGAGUCUCUUUCUUUAAAAUUACUUCAAGUGGUCGAGUGAUCUCUGGUGUAAUGAAAAAUCUUAAUAGCCCAGUUGGUUAACUAUUUAAACUUUUACUUUAUUAGUGAGAGUUUGUAAUAGACUUAAGACCUAAAUAAGAGUUACAUCCCACGUGUACUUUACUUGUUGAAGUAUAAAUCAACAGUGCAUUUGAAUUAUCGUUCUUUUUAAAAAAAUAAAAAAUAACUUUUAGUAAAGUGUUAAGACUUAGACCAAAAAACAAACAAAAAAGUAUUGAUAAUGUCCUAGCUGAACUAUGAAAAGGUGAAAUUUUAUCUUUUAAAUUUUGGUUAAUUGAAUUUAUUGCCCUGAGAAUCAUUUCGCGCUGUUAUGUAUAUGAGCCUCUUUAAAUCGGACUUAUUAUUAGUAAUUCACUACCAGAAAUCAGACUUUUUUGGUCACUAGGAGCAUAGUAAAUCGCCACUGAAUAUUUUUAGUGGCGACCAUAAUGUCACUGCAAGUAACUCCAUAACUAAUGUGAAUUAAAUUUGCGACAAAAAUCGACGAUAAAAACCACCAAAUAGAAUUUAGGUAAAUCGCCAGUGCAAUUACGCCUUUACUCUGAUUUACUCACGACAUUUAAUUAGGUCGCUACAGAGUUAAGUUUCUAGCGAACACUUAAACUAUCAUUUUUUUAAAAUUCUAUAUUUAAAUUAUUGAGAGUGUAAGAAACACCCCUAAACUAUAUCACUCAUAAGUUUGAACAAAACACCUCAAGUAAUAUGUGAUAGUGUUUGUAUUACACUCUCUUUUUUAAAAAUAAUAUAAUUGUCACGUGAAAAAAAUGUCACAAUGGCAAAAAGUUCAAAAUUAAAAGAGUGAAGUGUCAAAAAUGGGUCCUGCAGUGCCCAAUCCAAAUUUAAUCGGGAAUUUAAUGUAGGCUCCGAACACCGGGUGAAAAAUAAAAAAAAUGAACAAUGAAAUUGAGAAGCUAUCAUGGUAUUAGUUGGAGAGAGAAUGAGGAAAUUUAUCAUUUUAUCCCUUUUCCAAGAUGGGAAAUUGAAGAUUUGUGAAGUGAAUUAAUGCUUAGGGGAAAGUGUAGAUUUACUAAUUGAAGAUUUUAGAUGCAAUCAAUUGGAAUAACUUUCAUUAUUUUAUUGAUUAUGAUCCGAAAAUUUAGCCUCCAAAUAAUCGACAAAAUAAAUAAUACGGGUGAAACUUGAACACGAAAUAGAAAAUGACAUAGAUAACUAGUCUCUCCGUUUUAUAUUAGUUGAUCUUUAUACUAAAUAUAAUUGUCUCAUUUUAGUUUAUCACUUUACUAAAUCAAGUAAAGAUAAUUAUUUUUUUCUAUAUUACCCUAGCAAUUAAUUUUUUUUGAAAGUGUUUAUAUUUGUUUGUAAAAUUUUCAAGAAGUUUUUUAAGAGGUGAAUUAAUAAAAUUAUCUUCUUAUUUAUGAUUUCUUAAACACUACGCAAAAUAAAAAAUGAUCAACUAAUAUGAAACGAAAAAAAUAUGAAAGAAAUUUUGUCCAUGAAAGAAAAAUAAUGGUUACUUCUUUCAAUUAAGUUUUAAGAAAAAGUCUUGUCACGUUAUACCAAAUAAAUUUGUCUUCUAUGUUAUCCAUAUGGAUUGCAGUCAAAAUAGAUGAAAUUUCUCUAUUCUUAAUCAAUGUGAAUUUGAAUCUUUAGAAAUGAAAAAAUCUUAUUAAGAGCACUAUUAAUUUGUAAAUUUAUAUUUAAAUAGGAUAACAAACACCGAACACUGGAUAAGAAAUCGAAUAAAAAUAAUAGUUUGACUUUUAUUUUCAUAUAAAGUAAUGGAGUAAUUAGUAGGCGGCUCUUAUAUGUUGAGCCACCUCAACCUUUACUUAAACAUAUUUCAAAAUUAUUCGUUGAUUAGUCCAGUGUGAUAUUGAUAUUUGUGAUUAAAAUCCAUAGUUUCAAAAGCCGCCACACCCCUAUAUAAACUGCCCAACGAUUUGUCAAUAUAUCCAACAACUUAGAUUAAAAAAUAUAGUUCCACAAACAUGGCCUACUUGAGAUCUUCUUUUGUUUUCUUCCUCCUUGCUUUUGUGACUUACACUUAUGCUGCCACUAUCGAGGUACGCAAUAACUGUCCAUACACCGUGUGGGCGGCAUCGACCCCGAUAGGCGGUGGCCGACGUCUCGAUCGAGGCCAGACAUGGGUUAUCAAUGCGCCGAGGGGCACUAAGAUGGCACGUAUAUGGGGUCGUACUAAUUGCAACUUUGAUGGUGCUGGUAGAGGUUCAUGCCAGACUGGUGAUUGUGGUGGGGUCUUGCAGUGUACCGGGUGGGGCAAACCACCAAACACCCUGGCUGAAUACGCCUUGGACCAGUUCAGCAACCUAGAUUUCUGGGACAUUUCUUUAGUCGAUGGAUUUAAUAUUCCGAUGACUUUUGCCCCAACCAAUCCUAGUGGAGGGAAAUGCCACGCAAUUCAUUGCACGGCUAAUAUAAAUGGUGAAUGUCCUGGUUCACUUAGGGUACCUGGAGGAUGUAACAAUCCUUGUACCACGUUCGGAGGACAACAAUAUUGUUGCACCCAAGGUCCAUGUGGUCCUACUGAUUUGUCUAGAUUUUUCAAACAAAGAUGCCCUGAUGCCUAUAGCUACCCACAAGAUGAUCCUACUAGCACAUUUACUUGCCCUAGUGGUAGUACAAAUUAUAGGGUUGUCUUUUGUCCUAAUGGUGUUACUAGCCCAAAUUUCCCCUUGGAGAUGCCUUCAAGUGAUGAAGAGGCUAAGUAAAAUUGAGUCUCUUUCUUUUAAAUUGCUUGAAGUGGUCAAGUUAUAUUGGCUUGUAAUAAACCUAUUAUAUAAAACAUGAAUAAGAGUCACAUCAUCACAAAUCUGUUGUGUC
rnacentral:lncRNA from 1 species